GGGGAGGUGCGCGAGCUGCCGCUCUGCUCCCGAGGCUGCUCCACGCCUCGACUUCGGCCGCUUCCGUCAGUACUCGGGCAACGGCUGCCCGAGAAGCUGAGGGUUCGAGAAAGAUCUGGAAAAUGGAGGGGCUGAAAUGCCAAAAACCAAACUUCUACCCAGAAACAAGAGCACACUGACAACUUUUCCCUUCUUGUAACUUCCUUUACACCAUUACAAAGAUGCAGUCUCCUCCACUGACCCUAACCUCUGAAAACCAGUGUUACAGAAAACCGACCUUAAGUCUGUCUGCACUAUGACACCAGAGAUAGAGACAGCCAGCGAGAGAGGGAACACAAGCAGGGGGAGUGGGA